rnacentral:sRNA from 1 species
AUGGCUCAUUACAUACCGCAUCCAAGAAACAAAGCACGGGUGAAGAGCAAUGGACCUAAGGGAUGCAUACCAGAAGAUUGUGAUAUUCUUAUUGACCAUUGGUAUACUGAGGAUGCAAUAGUAUGUUCUUUUUAAUUUUUUUUUUUUUUUUAAGAUGUGCUUAACCUGUUUUUUUGGUUUUCAUUAUUGCCAUGCUGGUACUAUGCUUUGUUUCUUUGGAUAUGGUGUUCUUUGGUUGCAUAAAGAAACUAGUUGGUGAGUUAGUUUUAUCCAGGAAUUGAAAUUUCUGCAUAUCCUUUUCUGGAUUUGAUUGUUUUAGCAUUAUUGUUUGGUGGGCUCAGUUGUCUUUGUAGAAGUGUAAAUCCUUACAUAGCAUUUUCAUAGUUCAAUUUUCUUUGUAAAAGUGUAAAUCCUUACAUAACCUCUUCUAUUCUUAUAUGUAGAAUAGAUUUCAAUUUAUAACUAUUUCUUGAACUAGGUUUUGCUUCAAAAUAGAGUUUUAAUGGUUUAUGUAUAAAAUUUUUAAGAUGACUGCUUGUUCAUAGCAUUUCAUGUUUGGAAUUUCACUUAUUUUCUGCAAAAAAAAAAAAAAAAUUAAGAAUUCCACAGCUACCCAAUUGUAUAUCUUGAGCUUGCUGAAAUUCUUUGUUAAGAGGCAAGUUUUGUUUUACUUUUUUUAAAAAAUAUAAUAAGAAAUUAGUGAAAGUGUGAAACUACAUUAAGAUCUCUAUGAAUAGUUAAAAAACUUUUCACAUAAAUGUGAAGUGAUAGUCUAGUUAAAAAAACACGAGAUAAAUAGCUCUUUACUUAACAACGUUAAUUUUCUACGAUUUUUCUGUAUGAAUAAUUUUUUUAAUUUUUUAAUAACACAAUAGUUAAAUUAGUAGAACACUUGUGGUUGUGUGUAAAAAUGUAAGUUUGUUUUUUUGUUUUUGUAUUCUCUGACUCCAUAAUUUUCACUACAAGAAAAUGUAUUUUUAGUGACGAAAAAAUUCGUUACUAAAAGUCCAGUUUUUCGUCACUAAGAACCUUUAGUGAUGAAAUUGGACUUUUAGUGACGAAAUUCGUUUCGUCAUUGUAGCCCCAUCGCUAAAAGUCCUGGCGACGAAAAAUUUCGUCACUAAAAGUCCGAUUUGUUUAAAAAAAAAAAAAAACCUUUUAGAGACGAAAACGUUUCGUCGCUGAAUGUUUUCCUUGCCAAAAAUAGUAUUUAGUGACGAAAAUAUUUCGUCACUAAAACCAUUUCAGUUUAUUAAAUCAUAUUUAGCGACGAACAAUUUCGUCACUAAAACUAUUUUCAGGUACAUAUAGUGACGAAAAAAUUCGUCACUAAAACUAUUUUUAAGAAAAUUCAGGCACAUAUAGCGACGAAAAUUUUCAUCACUAAAACCAUUUCUUACAAAAUUCCACUGCAUUUAGUGAUGAAAUAUUUUGUCACUAAAACAAUUUUUUGUUGCCAUAUUUGUGACGAAAAAUUCGUCGCUAAAACUUAUUUUUUGUUUUUAUUAUUUUCAUGACGUUGAUAUUAACCUAUAACUUGUCAUUACAUUAUUAAAACCUUACAUUUGAUUAACACAUUUAUUUCAACAACACAUUUAUAAAAAAUCGAUCCACACAUUCCAUAAGUUAAAAUUAAAACAAGUAUCAAAUUCAAACUCCUUCCAUACAAUAAUUGUUUGCAACGCAUACAAUAACUUAAGAUGUUUUAUAACAACACAAAAAAUGUAGCAUAAUAUAAUUAGAAUCCCCUAAUGCCAAAAAAUGUUCUCAUAUGUCUUCAAAUAAUGCCAAAAGUAAAUCUCCUAAAGCCACCAAUAAGAAAUCUGCACAAAUAUAAAAACACUACUACAUUAAAAUCAUAAAGUAAAAACAUUAACUAUGUUAUAAGAAACAUUUUUAACAAUUAGUUUCAAAUGAUACAUAAAAAAUGAAGUGUUUUAACUUAAAGAUAAAAUACUAACCAAUAAGCGAUUUAACUUGAAGAUAAACCACCCCCAUAAGUAAAAGCGUCAUCAUAACCCAUUGUCAUCUAACUUUUAUCCAUGUUUGACUACAAUUAUAAGAUGAAUCCUACUUUAGUAAAAUAAGGACAACUCAUGCAUAAUGUAUUCUAACAUCUAAGUUUAUAAGCUACUUAGAUAAAGUUCUAUCGCAUUCAUGAAUGCACAAGUCUAUAUUAAUACUUAAACAAAUACAUGUUGCACACACAAAUAUACACUCCCAAUAUGAAUUUAAACCACCUUAUAAUACCACACAAGCCAUCCACUUGCACUAACACAACAACCCACCACAAAAUCAAUCACAAAUAUCACAAGUACAAUGCUUACAAGUAUUGAAAUCGAAUAAAGUAAUACUCAUCACACCUAAUUAACAAGUUUCAUUCACAUUUGCAAAAAAUUAAAAACACUCCCAAUAUGAAUUUAAACCACCUUAUAACACCAUAUAAGCCACCCGCUUGCUCCAACACAACAACCGACCACAAAACUAAUCACAAACAUCACAACUAUAAUGCCUACAAGUAUUGAAAUUAAAUAAAGGAACACAAUUGCUACUAAUCAACAAGAAAUUAAAAACACUCCCAAUAUGAAUUUAAACCACCUUAUAAUACCAUGCAAGCCACCCGCUUGCUCCAACACAACAACCCACUACAAAACCAAUCACAAACUUCACAACUAUAAUGUUUACAAAUAUUGAAAUUGAAUAAAGGAACACAAUUGCUACUAAUCAACAAAUUUCAUUCACAUUUACAAGAAAUUAAAAAUACUCUAAAUAUGAAUUUAAACCAUCUUAUAACACCAUGCAAGCCACCCGCUUGCUCCAACACAACAACCCACCACAAAACCAAUCACGAACAUCACAACUAUAAUGCUUACAAGUAUUGAAAUUGAAUAAAAGAACACAAUUGCUACUAAUCAACAAGUUUUAUUCACAUUUGCAAGAAAUGAAAAACACUCCCAAUAUGAAUUUAAACCACCUUAUAACACCAUGCAAGCCACCUGCUUGCUCCAACAUAACAACCCACCACAAAACAAAUUUCCAACAUCACAAGUAUAUAUAGAGUUUUAUAAGUUUUUAACUAGAAUUUACUUACUUUGUUCAAGCUAAGUUCACAACUUUAAAAAAAAAUCCAAAGUUAUUGCAAAUGAUGUGUAUUUAGCCUAUAAAAGAAAAGUUAAAUUUAUAAGUACUUCAAUCUUGAAAAUAAUCCUCUCAUAAAUUACUACACAAACUCACAGCUUACUAAUAUUUCAGCAACUCUUUCAGUAACUCAAGGUACACAUUUAUGACCUGCAAGAGAAGGCGCCUAUGUAUCAAGAAACUACACUUCUAGACAUACUAUUGACACAAAUGUAUAAAUGCAACACCAAUAAUUACCUCAUCAUUCAACCAUGCACCUAGUCAUAGAAAAGUGUGCAGAAAUAUCGCAAGGACACCCCAUCCGAGAUAGUGUUAAUACCCUUUCUUGCAAGAAUGUAAUUAUCUUCUAUUGUAUGAAGUACUAUUAUAAAAUAAGAGAAUCCAAAGUAUAAAUCCGGGCAUAAAUUUCAUUAUUAAGUAUCAAACUUAUAAAAACUUGUAGCAUUUAUGCAAUAGAUGAAAUCAAUUCAAAGAGCUAGAGACAAAAUGGUUAUUUCCCAAAGAAAUAUAUCAAACAUAAAAUUUCAUGAUAUAAAACUUACUUGCAUUCAGUUAGAUAUACAACUGCAAAUUCAUAUAUAUCCAAAAAUCAAUAACUAUAGAGAAAGAAAACAACUAAACAAAGCAAUAUAAUUGUGUGUCUUGAAAUUCCCACAAAACAAACAAUCCAAUAAUAUAAUGGAGUACCCACCUGGACUUGUAGGGAAAUACACAGCAAACCAACAAAGCUAAAAAAGCACCUAAAUAACAUAAGUCAUAUAUUUACAUAAAUAAAAUAAAUAAAAUAAAAUUACUUGUUAGCCAGAAAGAAGAAAUGGGAAAUUAACCUCGGAAGCUGGAUCGGCGAAUGUGAAGGGUUGGAAUGCGUAGGGUCAGAAGGUGAAUCGAUGCCGGAAUGUGAAGAGUCGGAUAUCGGCAACGGUGGGCUUAUCAGCGACGGUUUGGAUAUCAGCGACGGUUAUGGGCUUAUCGGCGACGAAGAUGGGCUUAUCGACGAUGAAAUGAGCUUAUCAUCAAUGGAAUCAUCACACGGUUAUCGACGUCGAUUGCAGGAGUCGUCAUGA